CACGGAGUUAGCCGAUGCUUUUUCUUCGGAUACACGCAGUCCGGGACACGUCCCGGGUUUUGUUCUCCGACAAAAGAGGUUUACAACCCAUAGGGCCGUCUUCCCUCACGCGGCUUGGCUGGUUCAGGAUCUCUCCCAUUGACCAAUAUUCCUCACUGCUGCCUCCCGUAGGAGUCUGGCCCGUGUCUCAGUACCAGUGUGGGGGACCUUCCUCUCAGAACCCCUACGCAUCGUCGCCACGGUGGGCCGUUACCCCGCCGUCAAGCUAAUGCGCCGCAUGCCCAUCCUCUUCCGAUGAAUCUUUCCUCGAUCUCGGAUGCCCGAAACCGAUAUACGCGGGAUUAGCCUCCCUUUCGGAAGGUUGUCCCCCUGAAGAGGGCAGGUUGCAUACGUGUUACUCACCCGUGCGCCGGUCGCCGGCAAGGAAAGCAAGCUUCCCUCCCGAUGCCCCUCGACUUGCAUGUGUUAAGCCUGCCGCUAGCGUUCAUCCUGAGCCAGGAUCAAACUCU
rnacentral:rRNA from 1 species